UCCAGCCAAUGAGAUAUUGGCUUAGAACUAUCCUAGCCAAAACAAGAGACUUUCAACCAAUCGGAGAAGGUGAGAGGAACUGCUUCCAAGUUAGGGUUGGUGGUCUCUGAUUGGCCAAGAAAAUCCUUGGCAAAUUUGUGGUAUCAGUGACUCAGUCCUGGACAACCCAUGACACCCUACGCUGGUGGAUUUUGCUCGUGACCUAUCGUGGAAAACAAAAUUUCGUUUUUUUUUUUUUUUAUAGUAGUUGAAUCUUCUGUUAACGUAAAGCCAGCAUUAUCUAUCAUCAGGAUUGAAUAGUUCAAGUAGAGAACCGUGGGAAACUGAUGAAUACAACAGAUUGUCGGAAGUUUGAAAAGAGAACCGAGGGAAACUGAUGAAUGCAUGAGUAUAGUGGGAAGUUUAAAAAUCGUACCGAGGAGGACUGAUGAAAGCAAGAGGAUCGUCGGAAGUUUAAAAAUAGUACCGAGGGGGACUGAUGAAAGAAAGAUGAUCGUCGGAGCGAAUCAAUGUCAUCUUGUACCUUCACCAACUCGUACUCUACCAAUUCGUACCUUUACAUAGUCUACCGGCAUAACAGUAUAAUAGUAACUUCGAAUUUUAAACCCACCAAUUGGAAAUGAAUUAUAAAGAUAGCGUAAGGUUUUUAAUCUUUAUUGCAUCAUUAACAUCUUUAACAUAAUAACAUAUAUUAAAAUGUUAAUAUAUCAAAUAUACCAAAAAGUCAGUUGACAGAAGUGUCUUUAAAGGUCUGGAGAUGGUCCAUUUAACUGGCUACAACUACGUAAAAGGUUGCUGUGUGUUAUUGUCUUACGGCUGUACUGGUCCCACAGAUCGAAAAUCUUUACCUUAAUCUAUUUUGUUGAAGACCUCUGGUGUCUGGUAAACUUGGCCUCAAAGCCCAUGUUCAUCUGUACUGGCAGGAGGGAGGCCUCUACGUGUAGUUUUGGUAUGAGAAGAUAGAAUGGCUGUUUCUCGUCACCCACUUUCUUGUUGAUGCCAGCCUUCCACAUCGCUGUUAGUCCUGGUUGGCUGCAUAUAUAUACUGUCCACGACCCGACUGGCCAAACGGUACUAGUAAUCCACGUGUCGUUGAUGUACUGCACGAGCGGUUCCCAUGGAGUGCUGGUCUGUUCCUUAACUUAUUGAACGCUGGGCGGAUAUGCUCCCCUGGUAAGAAUGGAAGAGCCAUCAGUUUUCUUGUGAAUUUAAAGAUGACGUUCUAUUGAGGGUAGGCGGAAAUUAAUUAAGCAUCGUUUAAAUACAUACAUAUGCAUAAACAAAAAAUGUCAUACGUAUAUCAAGAUCAAAUAAGAUGAAAUUUUUUACAAACCUGUUUUUUUUUUCUUUUUCUUAUCUUUCCGUAUGUUUGUUAGUUGGUAAGCUCAUGUUUUAUUUUAAAUAUAUUUUUGUCCUGUGAUAUUAAUACAAUGUUUGGUUUUCUCGACCUUUUGGCUAGAGCACCUCUGGUAAAUCGGCACCUUAACAAGUAACUGCAAAAUGCAGUUUAUAAAUAUUGCUUAUAUCUUACCUGUAGUCUAAGCUCCUGGUGUCUAUUGAGCAUCUUUGCUGGGAAGACCUGACGGAGAGCCUGCCACACUGCUGGUUCAAAAUCUGCAAUAAUGCCACCUCUUAUAAUGAAAACAUUAAAUUUUUAAACCAAUACACAAAAUAUUCCUUGAAAAUUGUAAUCAAUC